GGCCGGGGUCGCCGGCCGGGAGGGGACUCGGGCGGGGUCGGCCUCGCUGGGGACCCGCACCCGCCGGGAGAGGGGCGGCGGCGGGAGCCCUUGUCUGUUCUGCCGGGUGUGUGGAUAUUCAGGGCGAAACAAAAAAUCCCCUUUCAGGGUCUCCGUCGGAGGAGCUUUUUAAUCUCUUUCCGGUGAGGUGAGAACUCGUCUGGGAGGUUGAAUUUUAAAAGAACAAUGGAACCCUGACUACCUUGAAACAAAAAUAUAACUUGUCCCCCCCCCCCCAUUGGGUGUUGGCUUUUAACUCUUUCAAAGCUGAUUUUAAAAACGGCUGCAGGGUUGUAGAUGUGAAGAUCCUUACUACUUAGCAAACCUUUAUGGCGCUAAGGUGGUCUUUUAAAAAUGCGAGUUGGAGAAAUUCGGAAGACCCAGUCGCCAGAGGUGUUUUCAUGGAAGGGGAUUUGAUCCUUAGGAGGCUAGGUGAUGACGUUCGAUUAGGAUAGUUUUAUUUUGCUGAGAAUUAUGCUACGAUCGUUUGACAUCCUGAUCGGUGAAUAUGAUUGAAUAUGCUGCUGGGUACUUUUAAAAAAGGUCGUAGGGAGCCGUUAUCUAACUUCACCCACCUGAAUGUGAAAACGUACUUAGGUCAGUUCCCAGUCUUUAAAAGUUGAAGUUCAUAAUCUUAUUAUUGUGUAUUAUCGCAAGCCGUGAUGGAAAAACUUUUCCCAAGGAAUAUUCUGACACCAGAUCUCUUGGUGAAGUUACUUUCUCGUGUAAAUGUUGAAGUAGGACUGCUCUCGGUAAUAGGCGAUGGAGAGGAGCCAUAUUUGUUGCAUGUAUAAAAAUCUAGGUGGGCUUAAAAACGGAACUGUGUUAAAAAUACAGGUUUCAAGAAAUCACAGAGUUUUCCGCAUAGCCUGUAAUUAAAAAAACGUGUUUGGAGGGGAAUUUAGGUUUAAAGGUUUGGAGAAAAAACUAGAAACGCACAAACCUUUGUGUAUUGUAGAAUAUAUUUAUCUUCAUUUUGCAGAGCUUAUGUGUUUUAACGGUGCAGAUCUGUGUAAAAGUACUUUCGGGAAAACUAGCAUAGUACAUCUGAAAUCAAAGAUACUGGUUUAGUUGACCAUGUUUGUAAGGGUAUUUUUUUCAGUAAAGUUUUUUUUUUUUAAGUAGGUUUCAUAUAUAUUACAUCAGUUGCGCAUAUCUUGCUUUUACAGACUUGUUUGAAUAACAAUUUUGAUUCUUCAACGUUUUUAAAAUUUUUGAACACUGCAAGUAGUUUUAAAUUGAUACUCAGACUCUAGUUAUUUAGAAUUGUUUUCGGAUAGUAAAAUGGAAAAAUAAUUGCCAGUAGUUUAACAUUAUGAAGUGUUUUUACGUGGUAAAUGGGGGAGGAAAAAGAAUGAAAAUGUUCAAGACUGGUUUAAAAUUAUGGUCACAGAUACUAAAAGUUUUAGAUUUACUUAAAAUAAAAAGCAAAUAUCCCACUGGGUGAGAUCAGAUAACUUGUGGUUUAAAAUUUAAAGUAACCAGUGGCCAUUUUAACUUCACCAGUUUUUCUUGGAGGAGUUAAUUUUUAAUUGUUCAUAUCUGUAAAAGAUAUCUCUAGGUGGUCAAGGAAAUUUGGGGAUGAUUACAGUCUUUAAAUGGUAAACUUUUCUUUGUUUUUGUUUAUUGCCUGGCAUCAAAACAGGAAAAAUAAAGGCAAGGUCAUGAUUUUAAAUCUGUCCAAAGACCUGAAUUUUCUGUAUUUCUUUUAAAUCCCAAUGCGAUAGUCUCCAGUAUUUCCGAACACAUCCAAGGGAUGAAGAAAACAAAGAUUGAUAAAACAUUAAAAGAAUAAUUGCGACCAUAAACGUGCAGGUUGUGUUACUGUGAACCAUCUCUGAAAUUUACCUAUAGAUACUGUCUUUGGAAUAUUUUCUCGUCAUUUCAUCACACAAUCUUUGGCCAACAAAUUCUUUAAAAUCAAAACAUUGAUGUCAUCUUCCUUUUUUUUUUUUAAAGGUAAUUUACAAGAUUAAAAUUAAUUUGGUUGCUGGUGGUUCCGAACAAAUAUGUACAGCUCUUUUAUCCCAGGUAAGAUCUGUUAUAUUGUUACUUUGACAUAAAAAAUGAGCUUCUUGGGUUUCUGUUUUGUUUUUUGAUGAUUUUGUUUACAGUCAUUUCAAGUAGCGGUGAUUAUUUGAUUUUUAAGUCAUCAUAAAAAAGUGCUAUCAAAUAAUUUUAAAAAGUCUGAGCCUUUUCACGAUGUACAUAGCCACUGUAAUGCAGUGUUCCCUUGAAUAGUUUAAAAUACUGAAAGACUUUUAAACCUUUGUUUAAUUUUGGGAAUAGGAAAGCACAUUGUAUUUUGGGAAAAAUCGUGGACUAAAGAUAUUUUUUCCUUUGAUCACCAGAGUAUACCAUGCGAAUGAUUUUAAAUUCGAAAUAUUCAAAGAAAUACAUUUGUUGAAGAUAAGAACAUUUAAAAUUAUCCACGGAUUUUAGUAUUUUUUCAUAUAAUCAGAUUUUAAGACAUUUAUUUCUAUGUGGUAUUUAUUGGUUCACCAAUAAGUUGUUUAGAAUAUUGUUUGUUUUCCCCAAAAGGUACAUCUUUUUGAAGACUGAGAAAUUAGAGUUUUAUCCCUGAGGAUAAAGAAAGUGUUUUGGAAAGUAUUUUAUAUCGCAAGUAAGUACAUAUUUUUACUCAGCAUUGGAAAUUGAAUAGUUAGCAACAUAUGUGCAAAAAAAAAUCAUUAAAGUUAGUUGGUGAAACAAACUGGACUUUUUAAUCUCUUAAAAAGAGGAUGAGAAAUGACCCAUCAAAUUCCUUUAUCUUACAUCAGAAAACUUGUGUUUUAACAUUGUCGAUGCAAUUUUUAUCAGUGCAAUAGUAAGACAUUUAGUAUUUUCCAAUAAAAUGGUCCUUUAAAAUUGUGGUUAAAUCUGUAGUAAACAUCAAGAUUAUUGUCUUUUCAGUAUGAAAGGUACGUUCUUUAGCCUUUUUAAAACUUCUGUGAGACAGAUCACAUUGGGAAUGGUCUAAGUGUACUUACUGAUCUUAGGGUUUUUGAAAGAACUACCUUUUAAAAAUGCCUUUUCAUAUCUUGGCUUUAUUAACUAUGUUUAAAGUAUUUAUUUUACUUAUCUUCAUUGGUUUAUUUAUAAACCAGUACAAAAAUGAGUUGUUUUGAGGUAACUAGAAUAUUAAAGAGCUCUCUAAUUUAUAGUUUAGUAAUUGCUUCUGAAGAGUAAAAGGUAGAAAUAAUUUUCAAGUACAAUAUUUAAUAGAGCUUUAGCAUACUAUGGGAUUGAUACAUUAACAUCUUAAAACUAGAUACAUGAAUGAAGAAAAUACUUCUGUUGAUAUUUUUAAGGAAAAGUGUAAGUAUAUUCAAAGUUAACACUGAAUCUGGAAAUUAAUGUCGAGUUGUUACUAGUAAGUUGAUUGUCCAGAGGAAAUAUAAACUAUAAUAAGAAGUAGUUUGGGAAAUUUUAAGAGGAGGCAAAUGACUUUAAGGGCAAGUUAACUUAUCUGAAAUUAUGUGGGGAAAGUACCAACAUUCAUUGGAUGGUGUUAGUUUGUUCCAUUGAUUCAAAUAGGUGAUAAGAGGAAUGCUUUUAUUGCCUUUCUUUGACUUAACUUUUCUUUUUAAUAUUUACUCCAGUUUGAUCAAGUUUGUAUUGUGUGCAAAAGAAAAUUCAAUGUUACAUUUUAGUUACAGUGUUUUAAGAAUAGGACAUACAAAAAAAAAAGAGUAGGACAUACAAAAACAAAGAAUAGGACAUACAAAAAAUCAAAACAUCUUUCAUCUGAAGCUUUAACAUGAAUGCCAAGAUUAGGGUGUUCUCUACGUAGCUGACAGGGUAUUGGCAUUUUUUUAAUGUGAGGCAUAACAUAAGUUUAAAUAUUAAUAGGUGCUAUAUUUAUCAUGGCCUAUCAGGGAUAAUUUGAUCCAUUAAAUUAGAAAUUUUAAAUAAGAAUUUUAAUCUUUUGUCUUAGUAUCAAAAAUUUUAAAGACAUUUCACAUGAUACAGUAAGCUGUAAAUUAAUUCCCAGUAUAAUGAAAUGCAGCUUUUACAACCAGCAAGAUAAAGGAUUAUAAUAAAUCAUUUUAGGAAGAUCCACAUGUACUUGGAUCUUUAUAAUAGUGCUUAUAUUCACUGUUCUGUUGUUUAUUGCUUGAGCCAGUCUUACCUAGUGGACAAAAUUGAUUGCCACAUGAAGAGAAAUGUUAAUGUAGAUACUGUCAUUCAUAGGUUAAAAUUAUAUCACCUGUAAGCUAUACAUAGUAGAUAAGUAGAUACUAUUGUAUUGCUUUAAACUUUUAUUUCAUGAAAAAGGUUUACUAGUGUUUCUCAAGAACCAAAGCAGUGGAUACUUGUUAUUUUAUUGUAGCAUUUUGAAAUAACUUUUGAGUCCUAAAAAUCUGAUCAAAUAGUUACUAGGUUGGAUUGUAUUUAGUAUUCUGAUAACUUUAAAAAAUUAAACUGAGAUUCCACAGAAAUGAAAGCUGUACUAUAGCUAAUCACAAGGUUUUUUGAACUCAGAACAAGGCAUUUAGUCUAGAUUAUGUGAAAUAGGUAAAUUUAAAUACAAUUCUUAUUUAUUUAUUUAUUUAUUUUUUGUUUUUUGAGGCAGGGUCUCCCUUUGUAGUUCAGGCUGGCCCUGAACUCACUAUGUAGUCCAGGCUGGCUUCGAACUCGCAGUGAUCCUCCUGCCUCAGCCCCCCAAGUGCUGGGAUUACAGAUGUGCAUCACCACACCCGGUUACAAUUUUUAAAGUUUGGUCUACUAUUCAUUUUCUUUCUUUCUUUUUUUUGAGACAGGGUGUUGCUAUGUAGUUCAGGUGGGCCUUGAACUUACUAUGUAGCCCAUGCUGCUCUUGAACUCUUGAUGAUGCUCCUGCCUCAGCCUUCGGAAUACUGGGCUUACAGGCGUGUACCUCUAUGUCUGACUAGCUUCUGUUUUAAUCAGAGAUGUGUGAUAGAGUAGAAUUUAACUAAUUCAGCAAUCAGGAGAUAGCUUCUAAUGUAAACAAGCUCUGCAGUCUUGACAUUUUAUUAUGUACACCUUCAUCUUCAAGUUUGUACGGCUGAUUUUUAAGUUUAUAAUCUCUUAGAGUCCCUCUUAGCUCUUAAAUUGUUGGAUAUAAAUGGUAAGUAUCAAAUUAUCUUAUAUAGACUUUGUAAUUUUUACAUGGCAAAUCAUGUGUUAUUUCUGUGGUGAAACUACUGGAAUAAUAUAAGACCUGAGAUAAUAGUUAGUUGAUUUUGUUACUGAUUUUUAGGUAUUCCAGAAUAGUAUUAAAUAAUAUAAAUACCUACAAAAAAGUAAUUGGAGUGUGAGAUUGGUUUUAUUUUUUUGGUACCAGGGAUUGAACUCUGGUCCUUGCACAUGCACAGCAGGCAGUGAAACCACUGAGCUAAAUCCCCGGCCCGUGAGAUUGUUUUUAAACAGUGAAGAUUUAGAAUAUUGCAAUAAAAACAAUUAUUGAUUUUUCUAAUUUAUUAAAUAUAUCUAACGUAAAGUCAAGUGUAUAUUUUUGUAAUGUUUGCAACUGGCCAAGAUUAUAAACAAGAGGAUUUGUAGUUUGCAUGUCUGAUACACUCUAUUGAAUUCCCUUUAAGAAAUUUCUAUCCUUCAGAGAUUUUAGCAUUUUAGCAGCUACCGUCCCCUUCCAGAUUGAAUGCAAAUUUUUCUUUUCAUUUUUCUUAGUUUCAUUAAGACAUUGUCUUGCUGUGUAAUUCAGGCUGGCCUUGAACUCACGCCAGCACAGGCUGGCCUACAACUGUUGGGAUCCUCCUGCCUCAGCCUCCCCAGUGCUGGGAUUACAGGCAUGUCCCACCAUGCCCAGCUAAAUGUAAACUUUUAUUUUCAAAUUGCCUAUGUCUAAAAGUAGUUGGCCUGUGUAAUUCAAACUGAAUUAUAUUUUGAAUCUCAUAUUAUCAAUACAAUAUGGGCUUAUAUAACAUUUAAGUAUCAUUAAAAUCUGAUAAAUUGUGAUUUAUAUUAUAUAAUACUCAGUGGGUCUCUUAUUUCAAAAAAAUCUCCUUUACCUUUUGGAACUUAAUUAUUUGAAAUUGAGUAUUCCUAUAUAAGCAACUAAAUCUUGAGUAUGUACUGUGCAGUAGUCAUAAUUCUAAUUUAGAUUAUCAUGCUAGAGUUUUUUCUAACUAAUGGUUUAAAAGCACAGUUUUCUUAGAAAUGUUAAUGACUGUCAUGACAUAUAAUCCCCCACUUUUGUACAAGGUUCCUUAUAUUUUACAGAGCUCUCAAAUUUCCCUUUUUUUUCUUCUUCAGUACUGGGGAUUGAGCCUAGGGCCUUUGCACUGAGCUUUGUCCCCAACUCUUUCAUUUAUUCCUUUUUUCUUUUCUUUUUUUUGUACCAGGGAUCAAACCUGGGGACCUUGUGCUUGUGAAGCAGGUGGCAGAACCACUAAUUUAUUACUUUUUAAAAAAGGUUUUUGCUAAGUUGCUCAACUGACUGGGUUGGAACUCGGAACCCUCCUGCCUCAGUCUCCCAGAGUGGCAUGGGCAGCUACACUUGGCUUAAAAUUAAAUUUUUAAAGUUCUAAAAGAAUUUAAAAAAUGAAGUGAUUAAAGCUGUCUUUGCCUUUUAUUGUUAAGUCAGCAAUCAAAAUGGUUGUUUACAUUUUACCUGUAAUUUUAUUAAAUCACAAAUCAUAUUUUUGCAAAAUACGUAGGAUAGGUAGAAAUGUAAGCAGACUCAUUGAUUUUCAUAGUCUCUAUAAGCUAAACUCUGUUUUCUCAUUCCCAGUUUCAAAAUGUGGCCAAAUGCUAUUCCAGACUUGGUCAGAUUUGGGAAAGGAGAGGAGAGGGUACAGUAGAUUGCUAUUAGAAGUAUUGUUGGUGGUGCAGAGUAAGGUCCAAGCCUUCUGUUUGGGCUGUGAGAACUGGUACUGGUGGAUAACAGAAGCACGCCAGACCAGUGCUAGGGAGUUCCUGGACAUUUCUUUUGUGUACCCUUUAAUAGCUCAGCUGGUAGAGCGGCUGACUGCAGACCACACAGACAUUUCUUUUACCCAGAUUACUUACCUCAGUGCUGCCCUUCUACAGAUUAAAUCAAUUUAUUUUCCUUAGUUGGUUUAAGACUUAUCUGUCCACCGUAUCUCUUCCCUGUAAGGUCAGAUUAAAUUUGGAAGUUAUAAAAAGUGUUUCUCGUAAGUUCCUUUAUUUUUUAGCUGGGAAGAUACUUCAGUACAUAUUGUCCAGGUAAUUUUAAAGCAGAUCUCUGUUUCCUGAUGAUGAUUUGUCAAAAUGGGUGAAUAAAUUUAGCUUUUGUAAGAUAAACAGGGUCUUGUUCUUUAAUCUGAAAGCUGGUCUUGACAAAAGCAUUUUCAUAGCUUAACAUUAAGUUAAAUCCUAAAGUUAAGCUGUGGUCUUUUGCCUUCUGAAAAUUUAUUCAUCUGGAACUUUUAGACAGCAAAAACUUUGGUAUUUUUACUUUUUUUUCCCCUAACCUAGCUAGUCUCACUCAUGCUAGACAAGCACUCUACCACGGAGCUACAUUCCCAACCCUCUUGCUAUGCAUUAUCGUAUUGUUGUAAAUGUACUUAAGAGUAGUGACUAAAAAAAGUGUAUGGAUAGAUUGAGGUGGUGUUUAAGAUACAGAAUACACUUUCUCAUGUUUAGUGGGUAUUUGAGUCCAGUGUAUAGAUUGAAUAGGUGUAUUACUAAAGUACUCAUUUCAGAGAGCACUUGUAUUACCUUAGUUGAAUAGAUCAGUACAAUUAAUAGUAGUUUUGUUUUUUUUGGUAACGGGGAUCGAACUUGGGACCUUGUGCUUUUGAGGCAGGCGCCAGAACUACUGCGCUAAAUCCCCGGCCCAAUUAAUAGUAGUUUUAAAUGAUGCACAGUGUUUCCUUUCAAGUACUUUACCUUAGCAAUAUUGAUUAUGUGAUUAAAUAAAUGUUAUGUUGAUUAUAGUGCAUGGUAAUGUGAGGUAAUAUGGUAAUACUGAAGGAGUGACGUCUUAGGGGAGAAUAAAAACUUCCUUUUAGGAGGCUUGAAACUGGAUUAGAUGAAAGACAGAACAUGAAAUAAAAUUCUGUACUGUUAGAAGUGAUGUUGGCUUUUUUUUUCACAAAUGUGGUUGCUCAUCACUUCUACCCAGGGAGCCCAAGUAUUUAUGCGCUUACUCCUUUGGAGUUCCUGGGGACAAAGACGUAUCAUUUUCUUAGUAACUUACUCUAGACGUGAGCCUCCUGCCCUGCCAAAUUUAAGAUCCUUUCAGGGCUUUUUGGUCUUUUCCUUUGUUCAUAUAUUGUUCCUAAAUACAUCUCUUGGUCUGUUGAGUGAUCCUUACAAGAUGUUGAAAUUUUAGCAUAAAUAAUGGUAUUUAAUCUAUUUUUUUGUUAUUUCUUAGGCAUAAAAUUAUAUCCUUUUUGUCUUACACAGAAGUGCAAAUCCUCAUACUGAUAAUCUGAAGGGCCUGUACAGUGUAGCAGACCUUGGAAACAGUAAGUAUUGCCCAAUUUACACAUUUUUGUAAAUGUGCCUGGAAAUUUUGAGUUGGAAUUGUGAAAACGUAGAGGGAGUAGUAAAGCUUAGAACAGUACAGGGACAUCAGCCUCCUUAGGUACGUGUGCAAUCAAAGUUUACUUAUUAAUUUACUUUGUCUAUUUCUGUUUGCUUCACUUAAACUCAGGCAGAAUUAAAAUGCAAACAAACCCACACUAAGGCAUGCUUCUAACAUUCUUUAGAUCUGGGUGUUGGAAACUUUCCCCCUUGUUUUUACAAGUAAACUUUUUUUUUUGGAGUACACCUGUAUUCUGUGAUACAGAUGCUUUGUGGUUGCCUUCCCACCACAGUUUGAGGAGUUGAGAGUAGUUGUAGCAAAAGCCUAAAUAUACAUAGCCUAAAAAAUAUACUAUCUGGUUCCUGACCCUUUGUUCUAGAUCUACCCUAACUUAUGAACCAUACCAUAGCUACAGAGAACUCAGAAGCCGUUGGGUUCUCUUUUGGUAAUAAAACAUUUUUUGUUUUUGGGGAGGUUUUCUUGAACUGGGAACCGAACUCAGGGCCUUGCUCUUGCCAGGCAGGCACUGUUCUGAGCUAUAUUCCCGGCAUAAAAUGUAUUUAAAAAUUUUUUUCAAUGUUAAAAUUACCUCUAAUUAAGUAAUUCAGAACUUUCAUACACUUAGAGGUCCAGCGCAGAGGUCUUUAGCCCAGUUGACCCUGACAUGGUUGGAUAUUAGGAGAGGCUUUAACUGCAACUACUGUGUAGUAGCUUCUCUAAUCCAAACCUGAGAAACGAUGGGAGAGUCAGGUGGGAAGGUUGUUUAUAAACUAAUUCGGUGGAAUUCGCAAAAGGAUUUUAUUAUCGACAGAACUUUUUUUGGUAAUUGCUUAUGAGAUGAUUCUUAAGAGUGUCUCUUUUUGAAACAUUUGGAAAUCUACAUUCUAAGUUAUUAUUUUUCUCUACUUUAGUUUCGGUUGUAUAAAUGGCUUCUAGGGCCUGCAAAACAGAAGUUCUUUUGCUUCUUGGUGAGGGAGAGUGAGUAGAACUGAAAACUUGCCUAAUGUAGUUCAGAUAAUAGUCUCCUGUCUGAUCAUAUUUAAAAGAGGUUAAUUGCUUAGCACAUAGUAGAUGCUCAAGAAAUACUUGAUGAUUUAUUGUAUAAAUAUUGCUUCUUUUAACAGAGUUUACCAACUAGUGUUUUGGGUUUAAUAAAGAGUAAAGAUGCAAGUUUUAAUGUGUUAAAUAUUAAUAUUAUGUCUGAAGGUCUAAAUUUUUUUCAGUAAAAAUUUAAUAUGACAAGAUCUUGCAAUCUUUUGUAUUCUCCUUCCCUUUCUGGCAAAUCUCAGUCUGUGUAGUCAAGUUUGAAACCAAUAGGGACAGUUGGGAGGAUUUGAUUUAGUUUCUAAAUCCCCGACCCAAAGACAAACAUAAUUAACCUUGUGUUCUUGGUGGUGAAUAACUGGCUGGUCUUUUUCAAAUCAUUUUAUAGUUAGUUUUUAUGUCUGUGCUAUUUAAGACUCAAACCUGUUGACAUAUAUUCUAUUGAUGAUUGACACUUUUUUUUUUUUUGUACUGGGGCUCGAACUCGGGACCUUGUGCUUGUGUGGCAGGCGCCAGAACCACUGAGCUAAAUCCCCUGCCCUGAUUCACACUUUUUUAAAGACAAUUAUGUUAGUUUACUUUUCAGGGAUGUCUUACAUAAAUAUUUUUCAGAUAUAAAGACAAAUGUUCAAAAAGAACAUUGAAAUCAACUCAUAAUUACCAAGAAUCUUAAUUACAUGAUGGGAAGAAUGAAUUUUCAUUCUAGAGUGUUUUCCAUCUCCCCCUUGGUUUUAAAAUAAGCUAAGUUUUAAAAUAAUACAAAUUACAUUAAUACUAGCCUUUUUUUUUUUUUUUUUUGAGCCAACCAUUUAAAAAUUUAAGAAUUGUUUCUUUGCUUGUGCUCCUCUCUGCCCCUCACAUUUUUCUUUGCUAUUAAAAAUGGGAAAGUUUGCUGAGAGACGUAAGAUGAUUUUAGAGGAGCAUAUCUUCAACCCAAUCUAGAUGAUGAAGCAGUUGCCUACAUUUCAAUUUACAGUGUAUUUUGUAAUGUCCCAGUGUUUUUGGAACAACUUUAGUGAAGUACAAUUUGAAGAAAAGACUCCCAUGCUUAAUUUUAUGUUCUUAGGAAUGUGUGCAGGGUUUGGAGAUUGGAGGAGAUAGCAGUCACUCAUUACCUUGUUACCAUUGAAACUUUUACCUUUGGUAUGGGAUUGUUCUUAGAACAAGAGUAUAUUGGGCUGGGGAUUUAGCCCAGUGGUUCUGUCGCCUGCCUCACAAGCGCAAGGACCCGAGUUCAAUCUCUGGUACCAAAAUAAAAAAAGAGUAUAUUACUUAGAAAGUAUAAACUACUGAGUAUCAAAGUGGGAAAGUUCUAACCAUGUUAUGAGCUUGAACCUCGUGUAAAACAUGAAAUCUAGAUCUGUUUGGCUUUUGGGAUUGUAGAUCAAAGCAUCAUUUCAUCUAUUAAAUAUGUCUUCAGUAAUGCACAAGAAGGAAGUAGAAUAAAGACUUUGAUAUUUACGAUCUACCCAAUCUUUUGGGUAUCCUACUCUUUCUUUUGGGGUUUUUUUUUUUUUUGGUAGAAUGGUUUCAAUGCAAUACUACGUUUAUUAAAUUGGAAAGUGUUUACUAAAUAACUGACCCUGUGACUCCAUGUGUUCUUCAAAGACAGCCUUACUAUUGAAAUUUACAUCAGUUUUGAUUCAGUAAGGGUUAGUGUGAGUCCCAGGCACUUUGGUCAUUGUGGUAUUGGAAGGAUAGUCAGCAUUUGUUGAGAUCUUUCCAUAUGCCUGCUUAAUACAAGCAUUAUGACCAUACUCAUUUAAUGCUCUCUGCUGCCACAGGAGGUAGGUACUACGAUUUUGUUUCACAGAUGAAGAACUGUGGAUGUUAGCAAGAAAAUUUCCAGGCUCACAGAAUUCAUUCCCUUUUUUUUAAACAAAACUUUGCUUAUUUGCAAAUUUAGUUUUGAUAAGAAUUUGGAACUCCAUGAAUGCAAGUGGAUUACUCCUAAAUCCCUCACUGAUCCUGACUGAGCACUUUUGCUUGUUAGGAGAAUUUUUACCCUUGGCUUUGGAUUGGCCUUGUGGGAGUCCAGAGUGACCCUGGCUUAUCAGCAUCCUAAGAGUCAUCUGCUUUUUCUUGUAGCAUUAUUUUUCUAUCCUAUUAAAAACUAUCUUAAGGGCUGGGGAUUUAGCUCUGUGGUUCUGGCACCUGCCUCGCUAGUGCAAGGUCCGGAGUUUGAUCCCCGGUACCAAAAAACCCCCCAAAAACCCAAAACUAUCUUAAAUAUAUGACAGCGUUGACAGAUUUCGUCUUUUCUCAGCUAUUGUGACACACCAGUGCAUUUUUUUGAAUAAUUUUGGAAUGAUUCUAAUAUUAUGAAUUUUUUUUUGAAAUAAUGAUUUUAGAAGGAAAUUUCAUAUAAUGUUCUAGGUCAGUGAUGGCACAUCUUUCAGAGCAUUCAGUGAUCCAUUGUGACACAUGUGCCAUAGCUUUGCCUCCACUAUGAUGGGUAAAAAGUUUAUCUUUUCUCUUAUAGCAGACUAUAAAGCACUGAUGUAUCAUUUCAUAUGCCAAAUUACACUUGUAGCUACCAAAGUGACUAAGUUGGUUAUUAAUGCAUUCCUGUUGUCAUUGUUUAUCAAAAUUAUUUACACCAAUUUCAUUUAAAGGGCAAUCCUGCAUUGUAACAAUAGAGAUUGAGAAUUUGGAUUAUAAGUGACAGUAUUUUUAAAAAAUACCAUAAUUUCUUUUAAGAAAUGAACCAGGCCCAAUGGAAGAUAUUUUACUGAUAGAGGAAAUCAGUGAGUUAUUUAGUUCUCGUGUUAAGACUGGGGAGAAAUUUGCAAAAUCUAUUAAGAAAUAUCAUGCUUUUGAUGUUCAUUGAUAAUUGUGACACUCCUUUUCAGUUAGCGCUGUUUAAUAGGGGUACAGCAGUAUCUUUGGGUAACCAAAUAGUUUAUUAAGUAGAUUUUUGUGUUGUAUGUGCUAGACAAUAUGUGUUGAUUACAAUCAAGGAGACAAAUUAACGUAAAAGCCAAAAUACCCUUAUAUUUACAUUUAUCUCCAAGUUAGUCACUUUGACUAUAUCUCUACAAACUGAAUUGGAGAGUCACAAAAUUCAUCUAGAGAAGACCAGGGUUAAAAGUUGUUUUGCAAUUAUGUUUGAUCAUGUUGAAUCCAGAUUGUUAUUUACUUAGAGAGGUAAAUCACCUGGCUUCAAACUUUGCCCUUCAAUGUAGAUUAUUGAAAAAGAUUUAUUUUUUCUUUGAGGUAUAUGUGAAAUUUGGGCAAUGAGAUUAUUUCAGUUGUAUGUAAUUUCAAAAGCGGUAGCAUUUUAUUUUAUUUUAUUUUUUGGUACCGGGGACUGAACUCGGGUCCUUGGCGCUUGCAAGGCAGGCAGCAUAACCACUAAGCUAAAUCCCUGACCCCAGUGGUAGCAUUUUAUAGUAAAUACCAAAUAAGGCAGGCAGAUAUUUUGGGUUUUUCAUAAUUUUUUCCCUCUGGAGGUUCCAUAUUUUCUGCACUUCUCAGAUAAUACAACUAAAGGUGAUGUCAUCUGUACUGUGUAGGCCUUUGGGUUAGCUGGUCAGAAUGAACAUAUUAGAUGAGAAAAGUAUGCUAUGAUCCAGUGCUUUGUUUUCUAAAAAUCCUUUAAGAUUCUUUCCUAUAUUUAGUUUUCUUUGAGCUUGAAAACUUUCUUGUAUUGAGAUUAAGAAACCACAGUGUUUCUGUAAUUAAGCUUUCCAGGAAUUUUUAAUUUUAAGUUUUGUUUUUGCUUUGCAUAUGUGUGAUUUAAAGAUGCUAGAGUUAAAUAUUAAAAAUUGACUCUUCACUGCCCCUUUUUUAUGGAUACGAAUGUAUCUGACAAGAAAACUUUGUUCCUUUUAUGCAGAUUUUGAUUGGAUCUUUGAGAGUUUGUAAAUGUGUCUGCAUUGCAAGCUUUAAUAUAGUUGAAAGCUGUUAUAGGAUAAAAGUUUGGUGUAUGGUAGAAGAUCUUCAAGGUGGGUGGAUGUUCUCUGUUUGAAGGCAUAAGAUUAUUGGCAUUCCAACAGCAUUUUUUUCUUUUAAUUUUUUUUUUUUAUCAAGAACCCAGUCAGCUUGAAGAGUCUCAAAAGGACCCUACCAGUGAGAAAUCAAGAUGGCAGUCCACUAUGGGGAAUUGAGGAAAAUGGAUUAAUACAAGAGUGCUGUGAUAAAAUACCACCAAGACAGGGUUCUUUUAACAUGGAUUCAGUGAAAUGAAUGAAACCUAUCUUAACCAACAAAUGGACAGUGGAUUUGACUUUGUAAAGACUUGUAUCAUUUAAACUAGUUUAUUUUUGACAUUUGGAGAAGAUGGCACGUUAACACAGAUGGUAGCGUGGAUACCUGAAUUUUUUUUUUGCAUAUUUUGAUUUGUUUGAAUAUGACCUCAUGGAAUGUUAACUUUAAUAAAAUUUCUAACAUUUAAAAAAAUUUCAGUUUGGGCCUUGUUCUUUUUCAAGUGGAAGUUUCAUUAAAUAUUCAAUUAUCACCUUAAUAACAAUUUGGUUCUUACAGUUGCCCAGCAGUAUAUUCAGUAAAACUGGUAACAUGGAAAUGAUGUGGUGGAAUAUGUUUUACUUGCUUGAUAAAGAUUUGUAUUUUCUCACAAAGCUAUGGGAAUUUAUCUGUGCUUUGGCAUGGCUAUUAGUUAAAACAUGAUUUUUUUCAGGUUUGUUUGAAGUUUUGAAUGCAUUUCCUUAAAUUUCUCUUUGUAUUUUCUUGAAACACCUUGCAAAUCAGCUUAAUCAGUGGGUAGUAAUAGUUUUUAAUUUAGCAUGAGAUUUAAUGAUCUUUUAAAGCAAUAUGUUUUGUUGCCGUCAAACUCAGGGUGAUAAUAGCAUUUCUCUGAAUUAUUUUGAGUUGAUGGAAAUGUUCUCCUUUACUUAUGCUUUUUAAUGUUAUAAAUAAAAUAUUUUGCAAUAGAAUAUUCAUUUGAAUAUUUAGACAUGUCUUUUGUUAAUGUUGGGGGAAGAAUGUUGGAUUUAUAGGGAAAUGUCAUUAGGGUAUAUAUAAACUGGCUUAAAUCUUUGGUGGGAAUGAUGGCUAUAAUGUAUUGUAUUUACAUUUGAAAUAGGAUUUGUAGCUUGUAUUUUCCUUACUGGGAAUUUAGAAUAAUUGAAUUACACAGUGCAUGCCAUGGAUUACUACCUAUGUUUGAAUUUCAAUUGCUACACUUUCAUUUCUUGCUGAUCAACUAAUACCAUUUUCAGUAGCUAUAGUAUAUUAAAGGUGAUAGGCUUUAUUUUGAUAGACCAGAUGAAUCAAUUGAUUAAUAUUUUCCCAUUUUAUUGAGAACAAAGAAUAGUUCAGCUUAGUUUAUUCUUACUUUGUUAGAGAUAAUCAUACUGUGUGAUAAAUGAAAUACACUACUAUAGUGUGCACAUCCAUGGUCAACAUAUGUGUGGUAGUUUUUGUUACUGACUGAUGUUUUGUGGUUGAUCUUUAUAAAUUUAAAAGAGGAAUUUUGGAGUUUGAUUUGAUAGAAAAGUUAUCUAUAUGGAAUUUAAACAGUUUUGAUUUUAUAUUCACUAGAUUCAUCAUCUUUGGUUUUGUUGGUUGCAAAUCUAUAAUGGAUUGCCUUAGCACGGGAAUGACACAUUUUUGACAGAUUAUAAUGCGGAGUAAGGAAAGUUGACUGGAUUUUAGGGCAUGUGAAUGAAUCUCCAUUGGUCUGCAUGGGUGCUUGAUGAGGACUUUUGAGUAAUUGUUUUUGGCUUUAUACUUUUUUUGUUUCUGUAGAUCUUGAGGUCUUGAUCUUUGGGAGAAUUUUCCCUGUGACAUUACUUUGAUAAUUUACCAUCAGAUAUGACUUAUUGCUAAUGAUAUGUCAUUGAUGAAAUGACUAUAUAGAGUUUGAUUUGAAACAUGAGGGAAGGGUUGGGAUAUGUGUUCUGUUGGUUUUAGAGGUUGAGUUUCUUGACUUUCUGAUUUAAAGGUUACUACGGUUGGACUAUAUGCUUUAGUUCAAAGACCUUUGUUUUGCCUAAAUCCGUGUGGAAAGUAAAUAUAGUAUGAUUAUGAGAUCAUUUUGGUGGUUUAAGUUUCCAAGGUUACAUAAUGGGUUAAAGAAUUUUGUAAAAGUGAAAAGAAAUACUGAGUUUCUUGAAAAAAUGGGUUAUGUUAACUUUUGCCCUAAUGCAACUGAACACUAGGGAGGCGCUCUUGAGUUGUAAAAAUUUCCCUUUUCUUCCCAUUGGGAUGGAAGAUUCCCCCCUAAACUUUGUCUUUAGAUGAUUUUUAGGCAACAUAAAGAAAGCAAGCCUUGAAUUUACUUUAUGAAACAGGUUUUGCUUUUAUUUAGAAACUACUUUGCCCAUGGGGGGGCUAAUUUUUUUAAAGGUUAGUAUUUAAUCGGGGCUUUAGAUUUUCUAAGAAUUAUCCCUAUUUCAAAAUGGCUUGAUAAAACACUACUUCCUGUCCAGGGAGGAAGUUAUUUUAGCUCAAGGACUGAAAUAUUUAGCAGAUCUUUAGACAAAAGGAACAAAUUACAUUUCUCUCUGGCUUAAAAAGGGUGCUUGAGCCAGAGGGGGUUAAGAAGCCCUUCCCCCUCCCUCUGAUGGGGUGGUCUGGAGGGGC
ensembl:lncRNA